rnacentral:lncRNA from 1 species
AGGUACAAGUCUGCAGCCCUGGCCACCAGCAUCAUCAGGUGCUCCCAAACCCUGAGCCCACCAGUGGCCGGUGGGCUGAAUCGACUACAUCCUCCAGAUGGGGUGGGGACAGGGGGCAGCACACCUCAAGCCUUAUGCCUUCCUGCAGCCCUGGAAUGAGCAGAACCUGCUCGACGUCUUUGUGUUCUUCCUGGGGCUCACUCUGGGCACUAUGUAGCUUUGUGGAAAGCUGCUGGGCAUGGCAUGGCAGCUGGGUGGCUGCCUGGGGCCAGAAAGGUGGAGGAGAUGU